ACGAACGCUGGCGGCAUGCCUAACACCUGCAAGUCGAACGAGACCUUCGGGUCUAGUGGCGCACGGGUGCGUAACGCGUGGGAAUCUACCCUCAGGUUCGGAAUAACUCAGAGAAAUUUGAGCUAAUACCGGAUGAUGACGUAAGUCCAAAGAUUUAUCGCCUGAGGAUGAGCCCGCGUAGGAUUAGGUAGUUGGUGAGGUAAAGGCUCACCAAGCCGACGAUCCUUAGCUGGUCUGAGAGGAUGAUCAGCCACACUGGGACUGAGACACGGCCCAGACUCCUACGGGAGGCAGCAGUGGGGAAUAUUGGACAAUGGGCGAAAGCCUGAUCCAGCAAUGCCGCGUGAGUGAUGAAGGCCUUAGGGUUGUAAAGCUCUUUUACCCGGGAUGAUAAUGACAGUACCGGGAGAAUAAGCUCCGGCUAACUCCGUG
rnacentral:rRNA from 1 species